GAUUAAACCAUAAGAGGUCCAGCCUGCCCAGUGACAUUGUUCAACGGCCGCGGUAUCCUAACCGUGCGAAGGUAGCGUAAUCACUUGUCCUUUAAAUGAAGACUAGUAUGAAUGGCCCCACGAAAGCUAUACUGUCUCCUUUUUCAAAUCAGUUAAACUAAUCUCCCCGUGAAGAAGCGGGGAUAAACAUAUAAGACGAGAAGACCCUAUGGAGCUUCAAACAACUGAAACACUUGUAUAUCCUCCCCUCACCUGCCAACAUUUAACCUCACAUUUUUGUUUCUAGUUUUAGGUUGGGGUGACCACGGAGAAAAAACUAACCUCCACGACGAAAGAGACAUCUCUAAACAAAAAGCUACAUCUUUAUGUAUUAACACAUUAACCUUUAUUGACCCAAUAAAUUGAUCAACGAA
rnacentral:rRNA from 1 species